rfam:Hordeum vulgare subsp. vulgare, WGS project CAJW01000000 data, contig: morex_contig_64431
UAAGUACUCCCUCUGUCUGGAAAUACUUGUCAUAGCAAUGGAUGUAUCUAGAUGUAUUUUAAUUCUAGAUACAUUCAUUUUUAUACAUUUGUGCGACAAGUAAUUCCAGACUUAGGAAGUAUUAU